rnacentral:rRNA from 1 species
GGCGGCGUGCUUAACACAUGCAAGUCGAACGGGACCUUCGGGUCUAGUGGCGAACGGGUGAGUAACACGUGGGUAACCUGCCCCAGGCUCUGGGAUAACUCCGGGAAACCGGGGCUAAUACCGGAUAUGACCCAUCAUCGCAUGGUGUGUGGGUGGAAAGUUUUUUCGGUCUGGGAUGGGCCCGCGGCCUAUCAGCUUGUUGGUGGGGUGAUGGCCUACCAAGGCGUUGACGGGUAGCCGGCCUGAGAGGGCGACCGGCCACACUGGGACUGAGACACGGCCCAGACUCCUGCGGGAGGCAGCAGUGGGGAAUAUUGCGCAAUGGGCGGAAGCCUGACGCAGCGACGCCGCGUGGGGGAUGACGGCCUUCGGGUUGUAAACCCCUUUCACCAUCCACCAAGCCUUGUGGUUUUCCAUGGGGUGAGUGUAGGUGGGGAAGAAGCACCGGCUAACUACGUGCCAGCAGCCCGCGGUAAUACGUAGGGUGCGAGCGUUGUCCGGAUUUAUUGGGCGUAAAGGGCUCGUAGGCGGCUUGUCGCGUCGGGAGUUAAAGCCCGCUGCUUAAC